UACGUAGGCAGCGAGCGUUGUUCGGAGUUACUGGGCGUAAAGAGUGCGUAGGCGGUUUUCUAAGUUUGGUGUGAAAUCUCCCGGCUUAACUGGGAGGGUGCGCCGAAGACUGGAAGGCUUGAGUAUGGGAGAGGUAAGCGGAAUUCCUGGUGUAGCGGUGAAAUGCGUAGAUAUCUGGAGGAACACCGGUGGCGAAGGCGGCAUCCUGGACCGGUAUUGACGCUGAUGAGCGAAAGCGUGGGGAGCAAACAGG
rnacentral:rRNA from 1 species